UACGGAGGGUGCAAGCGUUGUUCGGAAUCAUUGGGCGUAAAGCGCCCGCAGGCGGCCCGGUAAGUCGGGUGUGAAAGCCCGAGGCUCAACCCGAGAAGUGCAUUAGAAACUGCCGGACUUGAGGACGGGAGGGGGAAGUGGAAUUCCUGGUGUAGGGGUGAAAUGCGUAGAUAUCAGGAGGAACACCGGUGGCGAAGGCGACUACCUGGGCCGAUACUGACGCUGAGGCGCGAAAGCGAGGGGAGCAAAUAGG
rnacentral:rRNA from 1 species